AUUGAACGCUGGCGGCAUGCUUUACACAUGCAAGUCGAACGGCAGCACGGACUUCGGUCUGGUGGCGAGUGGCGAACGGGUGGGUAAUACAUCGGAACGUACCCAGUAAUGGGGGAUAACUAUCCGAAAGGAUAGCUAAUACCGCAUACGCCCUACGGGGGAAAGAGGGGGAUCGCAAGACCUCUUGUUAUUGGAGCGGCCGAUGGCUGAUUAGCUAGUUGGUAGGGUAAAGGCCUACCAAGGCAAUGAUCAGUAGCGGGUCUUAGAGGACGAUACGCCACACUGGAACUGAGACACGGUCCAGACUCCUACGGAAGGCAGCAGUGGGGAAUCUUGGACAAUGGGCGCAAGCCUGAUCCAGCAAUGCCGCGUGCGUGAAGAAGGCCUUCGGGUUGUAAAGCGCUUUUGUCAGGGAGCAAAUCCUUGUGGCUAAUACCCACCGGGGAUGAGAGUACCUGAAGAAUAAGGACCGGCUAACUACGUGCCAGCAGCCGCCGCAGUAA
rnacentral:rRNA from 1 species